AGUGAACGCUGGCGGUAGGCCUAACACAUGCAAGUCGAACGGCAGCACAGUAAGAGCUUGCUCUUACGGGUGGCGAGUGGCGGACGGAUGAGGAAUACAUCGGAAUCUACUUUUUCGUGGGGGAUAACGUAGGGAAACUUACGCUAAUACCGCAUACGACCUACGGGUGAAAGCAGGGGAUCUUCGGACCUUGCGCGAUUGAAUGAGCCGAUGUCGGAUUAGCUAGUUGGCGGGGUAAAGGCCCACCAAGGCGACGAUCCGUAGCUGGUCUGAGAGGAUGAGCAGCCACACUGGAACUGAGACACGGUCCAGACUCCUACGGGAGGCAGCAGUGGGGAAUAUUGGACAAUGGGCGCAAGCCUGAUCCAGCCAUACCGCGUGGGUGAAGAAGGCCUUCGGGUUGUAAAGCCCUUUUGUUGGGAAAGAAAAGCAGCAGGUUAAUACCCCGCUGUUCUGACGGUACCCAAAGAAUAAGCACCGGCUAACUUCGUG
rnacentral:rRNA from 1 species